AAAACCAGGUAUUUGCUCAACUAACUGAUCUGUUCAAACAAAUGCAAGGUGGAUAUGCCACAACAGAUGUAACUAUUUCACUUCAUAGUACAUUCCCGUUACUUCGUGCUCAUAUAAUAUUUGCUAGAUCUCCUUUUGGUUCUAACUUUCUCUUGUUGUUUGCAGAAGUAGCUUGGAAGUUAGGGUAUGAUGACUUGGAUGCAGUGACUGUGGAAGUUGAUGGAAGAGGCUGCAAGACCAUUUUAGCUUAUAAGGGUCUCCUUCAAACUGUUCCUUCUGAAGUGUUUAACAAAGGGAAGGCUAUAGCUGAGGCAUACUUGACCCUAGAAGAAACCGUCCCACCUGAGAACUUGGAUCCAGAUCUAAAGCAGUUGGAAUCGAUAUUAUGAGCUCACGAGCAACUUUCUUCCCCAGUCCUGCUGCAGCUGGUCUUCUGUACUAUGUAAAGUUUUAUUGGAUAUGGAAAUUAUAAACAUUUCUCAUAAUCUAAAAUGUUGUAAACUAUGUAAAUGUUGUAACAUUUCUGAAUUCUAAAUUAUUUCAAUUUACUCUUGUUUGUGAUGCUUGUAAUGUUGUAAUGUGAAUGAUUUUAAAUGAUGUAUAUAAUGUUUUUUAUAUUUUAUUUUAUAUUGUAUUUGUGUUUAUUGAAUAAAUGUGCAUUAUUAAUUUUUUUU
rnacentral:lncRNA from 1 species